rnacentral:rRNA from 1 species
GACGAACUCUGGCGGCGUGCUUAACACAUGCAAGUCGAACGGAAAGGCCCUGCUUUUGUGGGGUGCUCGAGUGGCGAACGGGUGAGUAACACGUGAGUAACCUGCCCUUGACUUUGGGAUAACUUCAGGAAACUGGGGCUAAUACCAGAUAGGAGCUCCUGCUGCAUGAUGGGGGUUGGAAAGUUUCGGCGGUUGGGGAUGGACUCGCGGCUUAUCAGCUUGUUGGUGGGGUAGUGGCUUACCAAGGCUUUGACGGGUAGCCGGCCUGAGAGGGUGACCGGCCACAUUGGGACUGAGAUACGGCCCAGACUCCUACGGGAGGCAGCAGUGGGGAAUAUUGCACAAUGGGCGGAAGCCUGAUGCAGCAACGCCGCGUGCGGGAUGACGGCCUUCGGGUUAUAAACCGCUUUCGCCUGUGACGAAGCGUGAGUGACGGUAAUGGGUAAAGAAGCACCGGCUAACUACGUG